GUGGAGGGCAAGUCCAAGAGGGAAUCCUUGCAGUUUGCUGCUGCCGCAGCUUCUCUGUGCCUUCAAGUGAAGGGGGCCAUUCCAAGCAUGCCUGACAGGAAAGUAGUUUUGGAGCUUCUUCAAUCUCUUUGAGGGGAUUCCCUUUCUUUGGUAAGUAUCAUCAUGUUAUCCAGAUGGAAGAUAACUGUGUACGUGAAAAAAAUGUAACAAGUGGGAACAUUUAAAAAACUAAUGCAAGGCUAUAACUUUUGUUUU